AUUGAACGCUGGCGGCAUGCUUUACACAUGCAAGUCGAACGGCAGCACGGGGGCAACCCUGGUGGCGGGUGGCGAACGGGUGAGUAACACAUCGGAACGUGUCCAGUUGUGGGGGAUAACCCAUCGAAAGGUGGGCUAAUACCGCAUGAGCUGGCAACAGGAAAGCGGGGACCCGCAAGGGCCUUGUGCGAUUGGAGCGGCCGAUGUCCGAUUAGCUAGUUGGUGGGGUAAAGGCCACCAAGGCUUCGAUCGGUAGCUGGUCUGAGAGGAUGAUCAGCCACACUGGGACUGAGACACGGCCCAGACUCCUACGGGAGGCAGCAGUGGGGAAUUUUGGACAAUGGGGGCAACCCUGAUCCAGCCAUGCCGCGUGAGUGAAGAAGGCC
rnacentral:rRNA from 1 species